rnacentral:rRNA from 1 species
UACGGGGGGAGCAAGCGUUGUUCGGAUUUACUGGGCGUAAAGGGCGCGUAGGCGGCGCAACAAGUCACUUGUGAAAUCUCCGGGCUUAACCCGGAGCGGCCAAGUGAUACUGUCGUGCUAGAGUGCGGAAGGGGCUACUGGAAUUCUCGGUGUAGCGGUGAAAUGCGUAGAUAUCUGGAGGAACACCGGUGGCGAAGGCGGCAUCCUGGACCGGCAUUGACGCUGAGGCGCGAAAGCCAGGGGAGCAAACGGG